CCAGUUUUAUUUUCGGAGGGCACUUGCUCUGCAUGUUUUCAUGCCUACUUGCUCUACUCACACCUUAUUUACUUCUGGUGUUUCCUAGCCCUUCAUUUCCCUGUCAGAGUUGAUUAGCUGU